rnacentral:rRNA from 1 species
CGGCGUGGGCCUGGUGGAGCUCCGGAAAAAGUCUCCGGUUCCGGGGGAGUAUGUGCAAAGUGAACUUAAGGAAUUGACGGAAGGGCACCACCAGGAGUGCUGCGGCUUAAUUUGACUCAACACGGGAAAACUCACCCGCCCGACACCGUGGUUGACAGAUUGAUAGCUUUUUCAUGAUUCGGUGGAUGGGUGGUGCAUGGCCGUUCUUAGUUCGUGAUCGAUUUGUCUGGUUUAUUCCGAUAACGAGCGAGACUCCAGCUACUAACUAGUGCGGGCAUUGUCUCUGUCUUCACUUCUAGAGGAUGGCUGCGCUAGCACGAACGGAGCAAUAACAGUUGUGAUGCCCCUUAGAUGUCCGGGCUUCACCCUACUGUCAAAGCAACGUGCUCCCCCAGUGUACCUAAAUUUGCGUGAUUGGCGGAAAGAUAUUUCCGGACG